CCUUCAUGAAGCCGGAAUUGCUAGUAAUGGCAGGUCAGCAUACUGCCGUGAAUACGUUCCCGGGCCUUGUACACACCGCCCGUCACACCAUGAGAGUUGGGAAUACCCGAAGCCUGUGAGCUAACUUUUAGAGGCAGCAGUCGAAGGUAGAAUCAAUGAUUGGGGUGAAGUCGUAACAAGGUAGC
rnacentral:rRNA from 1 species